rnacentral:rRNA from 1 species
UACAGAGGGUGCAAGCGUUUGUUCGGAAUUAUUGGGCGUAAAGCGCGUGUAGGCGGCUUUGCAAGUCGGGGUGUGAAAGCCCUCAGCUCAACUGAGGAAGUGCGCCCGAAACUGCAGAGCUUGAGUGCCGGAGAGGGUGGCGGAAUUCCCCAAGUAGAGGUGAAAUUCGUAGAUAUGGGGAGGAACACCGGUGGCGAAGGCGGCCACCUGGACGGUAACUGGACGCUGAGGCGCGAUAGCGUGGGGAGCAAACAGGAUAUGA